AACAUAUCCGGAGGGCAUUGCCUAGUCAAUAGCUUGUAUCUCUUCCAAGCUUCAUACAGAGUCUCACCAUCUUUCUGCCUAAAAGUCUGAACCUCCAUCCUAAGCUU